rnacentral:ncRNA from 1 species
CGUAACAAGGUUUCCGUAGGUCGAGUUCAGCCUACUACAGCGGCGCAUAGCGCCUGCUAGUCAGCACCUUUAGUGGUCUGGCAACACGCUUAAUGUGCGGAAAGAGCCUGGAAGCAGGCAAAUCCGCAGCCCACCGCCCUUACCCGGCGGUUGGCUCAGAGACUCAAUAAGCGUGGGUUUGGCCAUAGGCCAGGCUUAAGAUAGAGCCCAGCUCAGCGGGUGACCGCUGGGACCAACUGGAACCUGCGGAAGGAUCAUUA